UCUCUCUCUGAGUUCACUCUUUCCUUUUACACUGUUCAAUUAGUUGAACUUCACUGCCUAGAAUUUAUCAUGGUAUCAGAGCUUGCUGGAAAUCUCUAUAGCUCGAUUUCUCUCUAUUUUUCAUAAACUGCUUUCAAUGUCUUUGCUUGAUUCAGCUCGAGUUACAUUGUCCUAGAAGUAGUUUUUUCUCUCUGUGAUCUCCACAGAAGUAUUUGUUUCCUUCUCUAUGCAGUACUCUAUUACAUUGCACCUUUGUAUUCCUUUGAAUUAUUAUUUCUCCAUUAAUGGUGACUGGGGAUGGUGUUCACAAAAGUUCAGCUAAUACUUUUGUUGUUACUUCGGCAAAUGUCCAAUUAUUAUCGAUCAUAAUCAUCCACUGUACUUACAGCCCUGCGGCACCCCAGGUAUCAUUCUUAUCUCUAUACAACGUAUUGGAUUCAAAAAUUAUGCAUUGUGAGUUAUUAUAUGAAAAUUGACCUCCUAGGCAAGUGUAAGCUGAGGUUUGUUGAUGGUAGAUGAUCUAAGGAUAGGUUCCCUCCUUCCCUCCAUGAGUUGUGGGGAAGGUGUAAUGCUAUAGUCCUUUCAUAGAUUAUGAACUCUAUGAGCAAAGAACUUUUAAGUGGAUUUAUAUAUACGUGAAGUGCCCAAAAGGUUUAGAAGGAUCUGCAGGAACGCUUUGAUAAAGUAGAUGGAUCUAGAAUUUUUUAUCCCCAUAAGGAGAUUGGUACCUUAGCUCAGGGCACAAUGUCUGUAGCUGUUUAUUUCUCUCGUCUGAAAGAGCCGUGGGAGGAGUUUGAUUCCUUAAUCCCCUUCCCUAGUUGUGAUUGUGCUGAGUCAAAAACUUAUGCAACUCAUUUUGAGUAUCAACACUUGAUGCAAUUUCUCAUGGGUAUCAAUGACUCUUAUAACCAAUGGCGUAGUCAGAUUAUGAUGAUGGAUCCACCAUCUAGUGUGAAUAAGGCCUAUUCUCUUAUUAUUUUUUAGGAAGGUCAAAGAAUUUUAGGGAAGUCUAACUCUGUCGUAGGAGGACAUGGAAAUCUGAGUGAUGAUUUAACUUUAUUGAGCAUCAACAGGAAAGGAAUAUUGGAUAAAAAAAAAGUGCAAUCUCAUCACACUCCAUGCCAAAUGUUGCUCAUGCUCAUGUGUUCUUUAGCAGGAGUGGUGGUCGAGGAAAUGUGGCUAACAAGCAGUUUCAUCCUAAGGAUCUAGAUCUAAAAAGAAUUGGUUCUACCUCUAAUGUGACUACUGUCAUUUCACAGGCCACACCAAAGCAAAUUGCUACAAGCUUCAUGGUUACCCAUUUGAUUUCAAAGGAAAAAAUAGACAUACUUUUGAACCUGCAACUACUGCUAACUAUUCAGGUAGCUACACUAACAACACAGGCUACAUUCCUGGCUAUUUUGUAGGUCAUCAGUCUACUCAGAUAGGACAAAGUAAUGUACUGAUGGGCACUCCCAACAUCAGUGUUGGCUCUAUGGAU
rnacentral:lncRNA from 1 species